AGGACGAACGCUGGCGGCGUGCUUAACACAUGCAAGUCGAACGGUGAAGGAGAGCUUGCUCUCCGGAUCAGUGGCGAACGGGUGAGUAACACGUGAGUAACCUGCCCUUGACUCUGGGAUAAGCGUUGGAAACGACGUCUAAUACCGGAUACGAGCUUCAGCCGCAUGGCUAGGAGCUGGAAAGAUUUCGGCAAGGAUGGACUCGCGGCCUAUCAGCUAGUUGGUGAGGUAAUGGCUCACCAAGGCGACGACGGGUAGCCGGCCUGAGAGGGUGACCGGCCACGACUGGGACUGAGACACGGCCCAGACUCCUACGGGAGGCAGCAGUGGGAAUAGUUGCACAAUGGGCGCAAGCCUGAUUCAGCAACGCGCGUGGGGACGAAGGCCUCGGUGUAACUCUUUAGUAGGAAGAAGCGAAGUGACGGUACUGACGAAGAAAAGCACCGACUAACUACGUGCCAGCAGCCGAC
rnacentral:rRNA from 1 species